rnacentral:rRNA from 1 species
AGCUUGCUGUUUCGCUGACGAGUGGCGGACGGGUGAGUAAUGUCUGGGAAACUGCCUGAUGGAGGGGGAUAACUACUGGAAACGGUAGCUAAUACCGCAUAACGUCGCAAGACCAAAGAGGGGGACCCUCGGGCCUCUUGCCAUCGGAUGUGCCCAGAUGGGAUUAGCUUGUUGGUGGGGUAACGGCUCACCAAGGCGACGAUCCCUAGCUGGUCUGAGAGGAUGACCAGCCACACUGGAACUGAGACACGGUCCAGACUCCUACGGGAGGCAGCAGUGGGGAAU